rnacentral:tRNA from 1 species
UGUAGCUCAGUGGUAGAGCACUUGCCUAGCAUGUGUGAGGCCCUGGGUUCAAUUCUUAGCA